rnacentral:rRNA from 1 species
GACGAACGCUGGCGGCGUGCUUAACACAUGCAAGUCGAACGGUGAAGCGCCUUCCUUUUUGGUGGGUGUGGAUGAGUGGCGAACGGGUGAGUAACACGUGAGUAACCUGCCCCCUUCUUCUGGAUAACCGCAUGAAAGUGUGGCUAAUACGGGAUAUUCUGGUUCUGUCGCAUGAUGGGUCUGGGAAAGAUAUUGUUUCGGUGGGGGAUGGGCUCGCGGCCUAUCAGCUUGUUGGUGGGGUGAUGGCCUACCAAGGCGGUGACGGGUAGCCGGCCUGAGAGGGUGGACGGUCACACUGGGACUGAGACACGGCCCAGACUCCUACGGGAGGCAGCAGUGGGGAAUAGUGCACAAUGGGCGCAAGCCUGAUGCAGCGACGCCGCGUGAGGGAUGGAGGCCUUCGGGUUGUGAACCUCUUUCGCCAGUGAAGCAGGCCUGCCUCGUUUGUGGGUGGGUUGACGGUAGCUGGAUAAGAAGCGCCGGCUAACUACGUG